rnacentral:lncRNA from 1 species
UACUCAAUUCGGACCUUGAGUUUUCAACGUGAAAACGAAGGGUUUCUUACUUGAAAAUAGAACCUUUGAGUUCGUAGGGCACUCACGAACACAAUGGUGCUAAUCUCCACUUCGAUCCAUGAAGUUUCAAGGGUUUUUGGGUCGGUCCGUACAGUUUCGAGAGGGAGAGAGUGAGAGUAACAGAAAAGGAGGAGAGAGAGAGAGGGCACGGGGUGAGGGUAUCCCGUGUGUGUGUGUGUGGUCCAUCCCAAAACAAGUCCAACUUCUUUCCCUAACCACACAAAACACAUACAACCUUUAAUCAAAAUUCAAACUUUCCAAAACUUAGGGAAAAUGCAUUGUUCAAUAAUAUGUCACACACCUACCUUAGCACCCGUCAAGGACAAUUUCGUCAUUUCACAACCUCGAUAAAAAAAAUAACGGGACGGGCUGUUACAAUCCUCCCCCCUUAUAAAAUUUCGUUCUCGAAAUUCAUGCAACCAAACAAGCCAUUAAUAUUCAUAAAACAACCUCAGAUACAUCUCUCUCAUUCGAUCUUCUGUCUCCCAAGUAGUUUCUUCUACUGAGUGGUUCCGCCACAAUACUUUUACCAAGCUCACAGUCUUAUUCCUUAGAACCUUGUCUUUCUAAUCCAAGAUAGUCACUGGUUCCUCAUCAUACGUCAAAUCCAGAUUAAUCACCAAAGGUUGAGGAGGAAUCACAUGUGAAGUAUCUGAAACAUAAUGUCGAAGCAUCGAGACAUGAAACACAUUAUGUACUUUAGAUAACUCCGGAGGCAACUCCAAUCUGUAAGCGACUUCACCAAUCCUCUCAGUGAUCUCAUAAGGUCCUAUGUACCUAGGACUUAGCUUGCCUUUCUUUCCAAACCGCACUACACCUCUCCAAGGUGACAAUUUCAAGAAUACCAAAUUACCCACAUCAUAUACUCGAUCAGUAACAUGUCUAUCUGCUAAACUCUUUUGUCAAUCCUGGGCUGCUUUCAGGUUAGACUUAAUCUCCUAAACAUUUUGAGUAGUCUCAUCCACAAUCUCUGGGCCUUCUAACACUCUUUCGCCAACCUCUGACCAACAUAAUGGCGUACGACAAGCUCUACCAUAAAGUGCCUCAAAUGGUGACAUACCAAUGCUCAAAUGAAAACUAUUAUUGUAGGCAAAUUCCAUCAAGUCUAGGCGAUUAUGCCAAGAAUCACCAAACUGUAACACUGAAGAUCUCAGCAUAUCCUCUAACGUCUGAAUAGUCCUCUCUGAUUGUCCAUCGGUUUAAGGAUGAUAAGCAGUGCUGUAAAGCAGUUUCGUACCAAGAGCUUCCUGAAAAGCUAUCCAAAACUUAGAAGUAAAUCUUGGAUCUCGAUCGGAGAUAAUAUUCACUGGAACUCCAUGAUACUUCACAAUCUUCGUAAUGAACAACUUAGCCAAUUUAUUCAGGGGAUACUUUUCCCUCACGGGAAUGAAGUGUGUUGACUUGGUAAGCCGAUCUACAAUCACCCAAACACCAUCAAAUCCAUUUCGUGUACGAGGAAGCUUAUACACAAAAUCCAUAGUUAUAUUUUCCCAUUUCCACUGAGGAACGGGAAGUGGUUGCAUCCGACCAAAAGGCUUCUUUCUUUCAGCUUUGACUUGCUGGCAAACAAUACACCUACUUACAUAUUCUGCAAUUUCCCUUUUCAUACCCGGCCAAUAAUAAAAUGGUCGAAUGAUACGGUACAUCUUAGUUCCUUCUGGAUGCAUCGCAUAAGCUGAACAAUGUGCUUCAUCCAAAAUUUCUUUCUUUAGUUCCUCAUUAUUCGGCACAUACAUUCUGUUCUCCUGCAUAAGCAUGCCAUCUGAUUCUCGAACUCUGAGGUCUUUCUUUUUCCCUUCACUUCUCAAUUGAAUCAUUUCUUGAAUUUCUUCAUCUACCAUCUAAGCUUCAAGUACACAAUCAACCAAAACUAGCCUGACUUGGAAAUUAGCAAGAAAAGCUUAUCUUUGUUCUUCUAACUCCAACUUUACUCCAGUAGCUCUCAAAUCUGCAAGAAGAGGAACACGACAAGCAUACAAACCAUUGAGUUGACCUUGAGGUUUCCUACUCAGCGCAUCAGCUACCACAUUUGCACGACCCGGAUGAUACUCAAUAGUGCAGUCAUAAUCACUUAGUAACUCCAUCCACCUUCGCUGACGAAGAUUAAGAUCAUGCUGAGUGAAAAGAUACUAGAGACUCUUAUGAUCUGUGAAGAUCUUACACUUCUCACCAUAGAGAUAAUGCCUCCAAAUUUUCAAAGCAAAGACAAUGGCUGCCAACUCAAGAUCGUGAGUAGGAUAAUUCCUUUCAUGAAUCUUCAACUGUCGAGAAGCAUAGGCAAUCACUCUAUUAUGCUGCAUCAAAACACAUCCCAAACCAUUCAAAGAAACAUCACUGUAAAUCUCAAAGUUACCACUAUCAUUAAGAAGUACCAAUACUGGAGCAUGAGUGAGGCAAUAUUUCAGCUGCUGGAAACUUUGCUCACAAUUUUCGUCCCACUCGAACUUAACAUCCUUCCUGGUUAAUUUCGUUAGUGGCAAAGCAAUCAUAGAAAAAUCUUGAACAAACCGUCGAUAAUAACCUGCUAAACCAAGAAAACUCCAUACCUCAGUGACGGUUCGUGGCUGUUCCCAAUUUUCCACUGCAGCAAUCUUUUGAGGAUCUACUUGAAUUCCUUGUGCUGAUACUGCAUGCCCUAAAAAUGCCACUUCAUUCAACCAAAACUGACAUUUACUGAACUUGGCAUACAACCGACGCUCCCUCAAUUUCUUCAAUACCAAGUUAAGAUGUCGAAUAUGAUCUGCUUUUGACUUAGAGUAUACCAAAAUAUCAUCGAUAAAGACAAUGACAAACCUGUCAAGAUAUUGCUGGAAUACCUCAUUCAUUAGCCUCAUGAAAGCUGCAGGUGCAUUAGUCAAUCCAAAUGGCAUCACCAAAAAUUCAUAAUGUCCAUAACGGGUCCUGAAAGCCAUCUUAGGUACAUCAUCAUCUUUAAUCUUCAAUUGAUAAUAGCCAGAUCUCAAAUCAAUCUUAGAGAACACACACGCACAUUUAAGCUGAUCAAACAAAUCAUCGAUACGAGGCAAUGGAUAACGGUUUUUAAUCGUUACCCAAUUCAAUUGCCUGUAAUCGAUACAUAAUCUCAAAGUUCCAUCUUUCUUCCUUACAAAUAACACUGGAGCUCCCCAAGGUGAAGUACUAGGUUGAAUGAAACCUUUAUCAAUUAAUUCCUGUAACUGAAUUUUCAACUCUCUCAGUUCAGCUGGAGCCAUUCUAUAUGGAGUUAAAGAUAUAGGAUCUGUAACUGGAAGCAAAUCAAUAGAAAACUCCACAUCUCUAUCUGGCAGUAAUCCCGGCAAAUCAUCUGGGAAUACAUCAGGAUAGUGCCUGACUACUCCAACUUCCUCCACACUGCUAGGAACAACAUCAUUUAACACCACAUGUGCUAAGUAUCCUUGACAACCUUUCGAUAACAACUUCUUUGCUCUCAUGGCAGAAAUAACACCAUGUCUCACCCUACUGCUUUCACCCACAAAAGUAACUGCUGGUAGUCCAGGACGAUGAAAAGUAACUGACUUCCCGUAAUAAUCUAUAUGGGCAUGAUUAUAAUGCAACCAAUCUGCCCCUAAAAUCACAUCAAAAUCCACAAUAUCUAACGGGAUAAGAUUAGCUGGCAUAACUACACCAUCUACCAUCACUGGACACCCUGGAUAAAUACUAUCAACAUAACAUUUGUCCCCUCUAGGCAUAGCAAACUCUAAAUCAAAUCCUAGAGGUGUAGGGUGAGGUUGAGUCAUUUGAGCAAACGUAUGAGAAAUCACAGAAUGUGUAGCACCACAAUCAAUCAAGACUCUAGCAAAAUGACCAAGAAUUUUUAAUGUACCCAUAAUCAAAUCUGGAUGGUUCUGAGCAUCUUGCAGUGAGAUGUGAUUAACACGUCCCUAAGCUUGCUGUCGUCCAUCACGACCUCUGUUGCCUUGGUUACCUCGCCCCUGAGAAGUACGUCCCUGUCCUGGUUGAUUAGACUGCAUAGAUGGUCAUGCACCACUAGUAGCAACCUCCCCCUGACGGGGCUGACCUCCCUGAUGCCAUUGAGAUCCACUAGUUGGCAUGGAAAAAUAAGAAGUAUAACCUCCAGGGUCUUGGGAAUACCCAGUCUGAGAAUAAGGAUCUUGGGAAUACUGAUAUUGUCCGGAAGCAUAGGGAGCAGCAUCACCCUGAUAAUGGUAAGCACCACUAUGACCCAUCUGACCAUAACUGCCUGAUCUAAAGCUCUGCUGGAUCGGCACUGGAGGUGGCAUAGCAGACUGUUGAGAUCUCUGCUAACUCUAGGGAAACUGAGCAGCCAUAUGUCCCAUCUGUCCACAAGUGUAGCAAGCACCACCACCACCACUUCUCUUACAUUCUCCAUGAUGUCUGAAGUUAUAACGGCGGCACAACGGAGCACCAGAACCACCAGCACCACCAAAAUCUCUCUGUCUCUGAAACCUGGGUCCACCAGCAAAUCUUCCACCUCUCCUCGGGCCUGUGACACUAAAUCCUCCACUGGAAGAACUCGAGCUCGCUCCAUUUUUCUUGAAAUUAUGUGUCUUACAAGGUCCCUGAGUGGAAAUACCUUUACCCCUAUCAUCUUUCUUCUGGUUAUCAUUCUUAUCUUCAUCAUCCUCACUGUUACUAGGAAGGUUAUCGAAAUCCUCCAUCCCAACCAAAAUCUCAUAAAACUCAUGAUAAGUGGUGCAAGGAAGCGCACUAGCAAAAGUCCGCCAUUUCCUCUUAGUUCCCAGCUUAAAACGCGCGAAGCAUCUCUGCCUGAUUACCAGCUGUAUCAGGGUCAUAAUGAGACAAGUCUGUAAACUUCCUGUAAUACUCAUACGCCGACAUAUUCUUUUGCUUCAAUUGAGUGAACUCCUGCUUCUUACGAUCAAUGUACUCCAGAGGAACAAAUCUUUUCAUAAAAUUCUCUUUGAAUACUUCCCAGUCAGCUUCCAUCUCAGGUGACAUAAGUUAGUCUGAUUUACCCACCAAGCUGCUGGCUCUCGCCCCAAAAACCAAGUAGUGGUCUCAACCCAUCUAUUAACAGGAAGAUUCCCUUGACUCUGCAUCACCUGAAAAGUCUUCUCAAUAUGGUCUAACCACUUUUCAGCCCCUUCAUGACCCUCAUUACCCAUGAAACGGUCCAAUUUUAGAUUAUACAUAGUCUCCAGGGGUGUUCUUUGAGGAGGAGGAGGAUGGAUUGCAUUCUGAAAGGCAUGGGCCAUCGCUUCCCCUAAUUGAGUUCUAUCAGGGAAAUUAGACUCAGAAGCACUGCGUGAUUCCCUACGAGGCGGCAUAGUUCUGACAGAAGACACCAAAAGAUCAUUAGAGCAUUAACAAUUUAUACAGGACUGCAACCUAGGCUCUGAUACCAAACUAACAUACCCCGAUCCUAGAAUCAAGGUGUGCUGGCCGUCACGUGGGCGUGAUGUAACCAAAAGUGCGAGGCGGAAGCAAUAGAUAAGAGAAAUACGAAGGAAUAAAAACCAACUACUAGCAAUAAUAACCAAGUAACGUGCUAGAGUAAGUUUAAGUGUGAAACACACAAAUUCAGAGCAUAAGUACUAGGUGCAGUCAAGUAGGACCAUAACUAAAUUACAACACCCACAGGUAAGUCUUGAAGGAAAUUUUGUGAAAAACAUGUUCAUUUAAGCAACAUCUAUAGCAUGCAAUUAACAAUUAAAAGGCGGAAUCAUGCUUGUAUGCACUCAAAACAAAACAUUACCCAUGAAAUUCAAAGCCUAGUAGAUUGGUGAACCUUGACUCAACUUAAAACAACAUUUGUUAGUUGAGAAAUUAUACCUUUGUAGAUUCCUCUUUGCAUAAGCAAAGGCUAAUCACCCAAAGAGAGGGCCUUCAUUCCUUGCAUCUUAGAUCUAUGGAUUUGGAUGGAUGAAAUGGUUCUCCAAGUUCCCAAAAUUGAGAACCUCUAAGUCUCUUCACCAAGGUUAGAUUGGAGAAGAAAUGAGUGACCUUGGAGUAGUAGGAUUGCUAGCUAAACCCUCCAAGGAGGCCGGCCACUUUAGAGAGAAAGGAGAGCUUAUGUUCUCAUCCUUUCCCCAAAAGAAAACCCUAAAUGAAUUUUGGCUAUAAAGUCAUAUUUAUACCUUAAUUCAUUGGAGUGGCAAACUUGUAAAUAAGUCCAAAACUCACUCCAUCUCUAAAUGGCCGGCCUUAGCGUAUUAUUGGGCUAAUUGGGCCUUUGUGAAUCAUUAUUCAUUAAGUUGUCAUACAACUUAAUUCAAUGGGCUUGACGUUCGAAACCCAUUGGGCCUUAAGGUCCAAAACUAUCCCGAGGUCUUUAACGAACUUAUUCGUUUGAUUAAUUAACAUAUUAAUUAAUCCUUGCCAUAAAUAAUUAAACCAUUUAAUUAUUCUUACUCAUCUCCAUUGUUUCUUCAAUCUCCACCUUACACGGUGUACGAUCCAUUAGGUUCCUUUUAGCGAGGCAGUAGACGAUUAAAACCAUUUCAAAUCGAUUGUGAAUUGAAACUUACUUUCAAUUCUCCCUUUAGUGAUUAUACACGUUUAGGGCUUCCACAAACCAUGAGUGACACCUAGCAGCAUAUCAUGGUUACCCAAGCUAAUCAGAAGAGGUGGAGAACCUAUUCAGUUUAGGAUUACAAAUGCACUACGGUCUUUCUCUAAUACAAUACUCUUGACCACAUUGUUUCGUUUGAUAGUUUAUUCAUGUCUACUAUCCAAUGUGAUUCGUGUGUUUAUAUGAUUACCUUGAAUGUGAUUUGGAACGACUUCCUAAAUCUCAUUCAUACUCUGGCCAGAGAUUCUUAAUCAUAUCAUGGAGUAUUCUCCCCCAAACGGUUUGAAGGUUAGAGAUCCCUUGUUGCGCAUUCACUUGCCUCCAUGGCUAAGUGGCUUAACCCCGACGAUGCCGUGGACACCCUCCUGAUUGAGUAACUUUGACAUAAUCAAAGAUCAAGGACUUAACCACAAAACAACUAUGAUGCCUCAGGUCAAAUGACUACUUUGCAUUAUCCCAACCAUGAGUUCUCAUGUGACAUGAGUAUGAGAACUCCUCGUUGAUCGUGUUCAGUGGACUCAUUCAUUAUUGAGCACCUACAUGCUUGUCUUGAUGUCACACACACCAAUGACUCGAGACUAGUCACUUUCCCUGAGAGAAGACACAGCACGUACUGAUCUUAACGAACUGUCAAUGCCCAAUUGGCAAUCCUAUGAUCAGGAACGUUUAGGAUGUGUCUACGAAAGAAUGGUCUCAUGAAUCUAACUUCUUUAGAUCGCAUUCUCCCAAUCACAUAUUCCUUGGACUUAUCGUUUAAGCGUAUAACAUUUAUAUGAGACGGCUCAAACAAUAAUCUUUGCCCUUGAUAUUAAACUAGAUUAGUUUAACAUGUGAAAUGUCCAUAAAGUAUCAUCAUAUGAUUGGUUUUAGGGCACAUUUCCAACAAGUCCUACAUUUAUGUAGUCUGUCAGUACGCCAUGGGAAUCCUCGUGGGCCACCGACGCUGCUAACUAGAACCUGGAGGGGCGUAAAACAAAAUUGAAUGGGUCAGUAAAACCAAAGUUUUUCAAAAAUAUUUCAUUUAAAACAUUUCUAACCCCUCACUGUAAAACCUGUAUACUUUCCCAAAAAAUAACAUAAUAUGCAUAUAAUCUUCGUAUAUCUCAAAUCACAAUUCUUUAUCAAAACCCAGAAAAUAUGCCAUGCUAUAAAUGUCAAUAACAGAUUAAGAAUGCAUCAAUAUAACAUGUGACAUAAUGAAUCAACCGGAGACCCUGCAGUUGGUCCUGUACGGUUAAUUCCAUAGCUCAAUAUCCAAACCAACCGGAGUCACCACGGUGACCUGUACGGCACUACUCUGCACAUAAGUUGGAACUACCUGAAAUAGUCUGUAUGACAAGAAUGGUGUAAUAAUACGCUCUAGUGCUUCUCUCAUCAAUCAUCUGUGCACAUAAUCUAAGGUCACCUACCAGUCGGAACCACCUCUAGUGAUCUGUACGACUAGCAUGUCGGAAGCCUCUCAUGGUCUGUACCACAUGCACCUACUUGGAUCCAAGGUGAGCGUGCGGUGCAGGUGAAUAAUAUAAGCACUAACACCAGGGGUGCAGGUUAUGAGCUCUUAACACAAUUCACAUCAUCAAUGAUUCACAUGAAUAACAUAAAACUCACCUGAUACUCACCUGUGCGUCCACAACACCAAUUCACAUAUAUGCAUCAAAUACUAAUUCAUAUAAUUCAUAUAUAUGUAUGCAUGGCAUUUUAAAACAUACUUUCAUUUAAAUUCAAUUUCUGGGAAAAUCGAUAGUAUAUAGGUAAAUACAGAAAAUACUGCCCACUCACUGGUAAGUCGAAGGGUCGUAACCCCCGUGACGUCCCUGGAUGCGCUCGUCCUCGGGAUAGGUAUCACCUAUAUGCGAAACAACUAUAAAAACGUUAAUUAAAGCACAUAACCGACAAUUCGUAAUAACUUUUCAUAUGGUGCUUAAUUUGGGUAUAUGAAUAUACCACAGUGACCUACUCGACGUUACGGACGUCGACAUAUUUUUAGAAAAAAAUUUUGAGGCUGCACGCGCCCCCAUGCGCCGGGAAGGGCACGGACCCACGCACCCCACGCCGCGUCAUCUUCUUCCUCCAGUCGCCGGACUGGUUUUUCCGGUCACCGGAAACUGGAGAUUUUUCAAUCUCCUUGUUCCCUGUAAUUUCUUAACCAUUUUCCAUGAAAUUUUCACCAAAAUGUCCUAAAUCACGAGGGGAAGAAGGCUAUACCUCUUUGGAGUCUCAAAACCUUCGAAAAUCACGUCGGCAAACUUCACCAAAAUCGGCCACCUUUGAACCUUGUGAUCCCGACGUCCAAAACCUUCCAACAAACGUCCCCGAGCUUCAUGAGAACCUCCUUAAGCUCACUAUGAACUUGGAUUGUCCUAAAAACCAACCAUUACAAAGUUCAUGAAUAGUACUCAAUUCGAACCUUGAGUUUUCAACGUGAAAACGAAGGGUUUCUUACCUGAAAAUGGAACCUUUGAGUUCGUAGGGCACUCACGAACACAAUGGUGCUAAUCUCCACUUCAAUCCAUGAAGUUUCAAGGGUUUUUGGGUCGGUCCGUACAGUUUCGAGAGGGAGAGAGUGAGAGUGACAGAGAAGGAGGAGAGAGAGAGGGCACGGGGUGAGGGUAUCCCGUGUGUGUGUGUGUGGUCCAUCCCAAAACAAGUCCAACUUCUUUCCCUAACCACACAAAACACAUACAACCUUUAAUCAAAAUUCAAACUUUCCAAAACUUAGGGAAAAUUCAUUGUUCAAUAAUAUGUCACACACCUACCUUAGCACCUGUCAA